rnacentral:tRNA from 1 species
GUAUUCGUGGUUUAAUGAUCAGAACACUCGGCUUGUAUUCGAGAGUUCCGAGGUUCGAGUUCCGCGAGAGCA